UACGUAGGGGGCAAGCGUUGUCCGGAAUCAUUGGGCGUAAAGAGCGUGUAGGCGGCCAGAAAAGUCCGCUGUGAAAACUCGAGGCUCAACUUCGAGCUGUCGGUGGAAACUUUCUGGCUAGAGUCCGGAAGAGGUGAAUGGAAUUCCUGGUGUAGCGGUGAAAUGCGCAGAUAUCAGGAAGAACACCCGUGGCGAAGGCGGUUCUCUGGGACGGUACUGACGCUGAGACGCGAAAGCGUGGGGAGCGAACAGG
rnacentral:rRNA from 1 species